rnacentral:sRNA from 1 species
UCUUAUAUGGUAUAAUUUCAGCAGCAAAGAAGUUAGAGACGGUUGGCAAAUCUAAUUAAGAGGGUGGUUCUUAUGGGUAUAUAGCUCAUAGUACCCAGCAUUCCGAUGAAAGGAGGCGCCAUUUUGUUCACAUUUGGGCUAUUAACCAUUGCCUUGAUUGGUGCAUU